UACGGAGGGUGCGAGCGUUGUCCGGAAUCAUUGGGCGUAAAGGGCGCGUAGGUGGCGGGACAAGCGUGCGGUGAAAGCCUGGGGCUCAACCCCGGGUCGGCCGUGCGAACUGUCGAGCUGGAGCACUGUAGAGGCAGGCGGAAUUCCGGGUGUAGCGGUGGAAUGCGUAGAGAUCCGGAAGAACACCGGUGGCGAAGGCGGCCUGCUGGGCAGUAGCUGACGCUGAGGCGCGACAGCGUGGGGAGCAAACAGG
rnacentral:rRNA from 1 species